rnacentral:rRNA from 1 species
ACGGGUGAGUAACACGUGGGAACGUACCCUUAUCUUCGGAAUAGCUCCGGGAAACUGGAAUUAAUACCGAAUGCGCCCUCUGGGGGAAAGAUUUAUCGGAUAAGGAUCGGCCCGCGUUGGAUUAGCUAGUUGGUGGGGUAAAGGCCUACCAAGGCGACGAUCCAUAGCUGGUCUGAGAGGAUGAUCAGCCACAUUGGGACUGAGACACGGCCCAAACUCCUACGGGAGGCAGCAGUGGGGAAUAUUGGACAAUGGGCGCAAGCCUGAUCCAGCCAUGCCGCGUGAGUGAUGAAGGCCUUAGGGUUGUAAAGCUCUUUCACCGGAGAAGAUAAUGACGGUAUCCGGAGAAGAAGCCCCGGCCAACUUCGUGCCAGCAGCCGCGGUAAUACGAAGGGGGCUAGCGUUGUUCGGAAUUACUGGGCGUAAAGCGCACGUAGGCGGACAUUUAAGUCAGAGGUGAAAUCCCGGAGCUCAACUUCGGAACUGCCUUUGAUACUGGGUGUCUUGAGUAUGGAAGAGGUUAGUGGAAUUGCGAGUGUAGAGGUGAAAUUCGUAGA